GACGAACGCUGGCGGCGUGCUUAACACAUGCAAGUCGAACGGAAAGGCCCUCCUUUUGUUGUGUGCUCGAGUUACGAACGUGUGAGUAGCACGUGAGUAACCUGCCCUUGACUUUGGGAUCACUUCAGGAAACUGGGGAUACUACCGGUUAUGAGCUCCUGCUGCAUGGUGUGGGGUGGAAAGUUUCGGCGGUUGGGGGUGGAGUCGGGGGGUAUCAGCUUGUUGGUGGGGUAGUGGCUUACCAAGGCUGUGACGGGUAGCCGGCCUGAGAGGGUGACCGGACACAUGGGGACUGAGAUACGGACCAGACGCCGACGGGAGGAAGCAGUGGGGAAUAGUGCACAGAGGGAGGAAGGCCGAGGGAGCAACGCCGCGUGCGGGAUGACGGCCUCCGGGUGGUAAACCGCAUGCGCCUGUGACGAAGCGUGAGUGACGGUAAUGGGUAAAGAAGCACCGGCUAACUACGUG
rnacentral:rRNA from 1 species